UCUCACCUGUUUCCACUGUGAUUGUGACUUGUGGAAGAGUUGGCGUCUUCCUCACGAAUUCAUCCAAAAUCUUUGAACCUAUUGAUUUGAUUGUCUGAAUUAUUGGCGCUGCUUACCUGGACCGUCACCGGGAUUCUGUCAGAGCUGAUUGUGGCGAAGUACGCCCCACUCUCUUUUAGAAGGUUUCCUAAAGACACAAUGUGAGGAAGGAGUGGGAAAUGUCUUUAAAGAGAGACGGAUUCACUGCACAGGAUGAAACUCAGCUGCUGAAUCUCUUAAAACAGAACUUCUCAGCUGGAAAACAUGAAAAAGCCCUAUGUACAGAUAUCAUGUAUUUACGUGAUAUCUGUACAUAGAUAUCAUGUAAAUACAUGCACAUGUAUUUACAUGUGCAUAUGAAUAUAAAUAGACUAAUAUAAAUUAUUCAGUAUUAAUCAUUAUUGAAUCAUCUUUGUUUCUCUGUAAUGUUUUUGUAUUAUUUUGUGUUUGUAUAUUUAUAUAAAUAUGUAUGUUACUCGAUGACAAAAAAAAUCUGAGUGUCUGUGUGCUUUGUAAAAUACUCGUAUGUCAAAUCAGAAUAUUCUAUUCCUAUUUUAUUCUGUUUUCCCCACUAAGAAUAUUUAAAUAGCUGAACUAUGCAUCAGUCCAAUUCAAAAAUACGUAAAAAAAAUAAAUGUCCUUAUAUAUGUAGCUAUAAUAGCUGUUUUAAUAAGGUUUCCAGCAAAAAUGUGUGACAGUCUGUUUAGUAUUUAGCAAGUCAUUAAUAAUUUAAUGUGCUGAUACUUCAUUGUUCAAAUUACGUUAUGUGUAGAAAAAAUGUGUAGAUGACAGCAGCAGUAA